rfam:Oryctes borbonicus contig16371, whole genome shotgun sequence.
AUUUUGUUAUCCUAAAUGGGUUUGGGUGUAGUGGCACGUUGUAAAUCGUGACUAGAUCCACACUCAUUAAGGAAAACAAAAA